UAGAAGAUACAAAGGCAAAGACUCAUACGGAGUUUAUCUACACCAUCAAAGCUUUGAGAAGUAAGAAGAAGCUUGGUUACUGGUUUGGAGUCAAAUAUGACUAGAUGUCAUGUGUAUGAGUGAGUGAUAGUAGGGUUUUGUGUGUCAAUUCCGUAAAUGCAUCUUAUGUCAUUGCAGCAUUUAAGGUGUCAAUCCAAAUGGGUGUAAUUGCUAUCAAUCAGGAUAUGAUCAGAGAAUACUAAGUCAAGCCAAGUCUAGAUGAUUUGA
rnacentral:sRNA from 1 species